rnacentral:tRNA from 1 species
GCUAGUGUAGCUUAACCCUAAAGCAUAACACUGAAGGAUGUUAAGUG